rnacentral:rRNA from 1 species
GACGAACGCUGGCGGCGGGGCUUAACACAUGCAAGUCGAACGAACGCCUUCGGGCGUUAGUGGCGCACGGGUGAGUAACACGUAGGCAGUCUACCCUCGGGCUGGGGAAUAACCAGGGGAAACCCUGGCUAAUACCGCAUAACGAUCUGGACGUCGCCUGGCGACCAGAUCAAAGCUUUAUGUGGCCGAGGAUGAGCCUGCGUCGGAUUAGCUAGUUGGUGGGUAACGGCCUACCAAGGCGACGAUCCGUAGCGGGUCUGAGAGGGUGAUCCGCCACACUGGCACUGAGACACGGGCCAGACUCCUACGGGAGGCAGCAGUGAGGAAUAUUGCGCAAUGGA